CCUACGGGUGGCAGCAGUAGGGAAUCUUUCACAAUGGGCGAAAGCCUGAUGGAGCAACGCCGCGUGCAGGAUGAAGGCCUUCGGGUUGUAAACUGCUUUUAUAAGCGAGAAAUAUGAUGGUAACUUAUGAAUAAGGAUCGGCUAACUACGUGCCAGCAGCCGCGGUCAUACGUAGGAUCCGGGCAUUAUCCGGAGUGACUGGGUGUAAAGAGUUGCGUAGGUGGGAUAAUAAGUAGCUAGUGAAAUCUGGUGGCUCAACCAUUCAGACUAUUAGCUAAACUGUUAAGCUCGAGACCGUUAGGGGUAACUGGAAUUUCUAGUGUAGGAGUGAAAUCCGUAGAUAUUAGAAGGAACACCGAUAGCGUAGGCAGGUUGCUGGGACGGUUCUGACACUAAGGCACGAAAGCGUAGGGAGCAAACGGGAUUAGAUACCCGGGUAGUC
rnacentral:rRNA from 1 species